rnacentral:rRNA from 1 species
GACGGAGGAUGCAAGCGUUAUCCGGAAUGAUUGGGCGUAAAGCGUCUGUAGGUGGUUUAUUAAGUCUACUGUUAAAGAUCAGGGCUUAACCCUGAGUCGGCAGUAGAAACUAAUGAGCUUGAGUACGGUAGGGGCAGAGGGAAUUCCCGGUGUAGCGGUGAAAUGCGUAGAUAUCAAGUGGAACACCAGUGGCGAAGGCGAGUCUCUGGACAUUUCCUGACGCUGAGGCACGAAAGCCAGGGGAGCAAACGGG